AUUGAACGCUGGCGGCAUGCUUUACACAUGCAAGUCGUACGGUAACAGGCCGCAAGGUGCUGACGAGUGGCGAACGGGUGAGUAAUGCAUCGGAACGUGCCCGGUCGUGGGGGAUAACUACUCGAAAGAGUAGCUAAUACCGCAUACGAUCUAUGGAUGAAAGCGGGGGACCGUAAGGCCUCGCGCGAUUGGAGCGGCCGAUGUCAGAUUAGGUAGUUGGUGGGGUAAAGGCUCACCAAGCCAACGAUCUGUAGCUGGUCUGAGAGGACGACCAGCCACACUGGGACUGAGACACGGCCCAGACUCCUACGGGAGGCAGCAGUGGGGAAUUUUGGACAAUGGGCGCAAGCCUGAUCCAGCAAUGCCGCGUGCAGGAAGAAGGCCUUCGGGUUGUAAACUGCUUUUGUACGGAACGAAACGGCUCUGGUUAAUACCCGGGGCUAAUGACGGUACCGUAAGAAUAAGCACCGGCUAACUACGUG
rnacentral:rRNA from 1 species